ACUAUCUAGGAAUGACAUUGUCUUGGAUUACAAACUGUUGUCUAUUGAGCUGUUGGGACUAUUAUGGUAAUCAACAAAACAAUACGAGGGGAAGAAAAACGGAAAAUACACUAAAUAUAUAUAGAGGAAUUAGGUGAAAAGAAAAGAAAAGCAGAAAGUUAGACCCACUGAGGAGGACACGCUAAUCGUUCGAGGUCAGGUUGUGAUAUAUUCAGAUGGCGAAGCAGGGGUACAUGCAAUGCUAUGUAUGUGGGAGCAGGAGACUAUUGUCGAAAAGGGACAGGAGAGGCAGCAAUGAUACAUCGGGCGAAUAUCGUAAGCGAAAUCCAAAAACAAAAAAAAAAAGGAGAGAGAUGGGGUGGGGAAAGAGCUUAGGACACCUGCAAUAUCUUUGGACACGCGUAGGAAAUGCCCAAUAUGACAGUCAAUUCCUUUACUGAUUUGUUGGCAGAAAGUAUGCAGCAACACCAACUACCGUUUGCCCGACCGCCCGAGUAUAAAAACACCAACGAUAGCCACGGCCAACGUCACAAUGGCGCCGGGAAGGAUAAGCUCAUUGGGCACACCGUUGAUCAGCUGCUGCUCCGCAGGUGGUGACCGGAAGAGAGUCUGGUUCUUUUCACGUUCUACAUGGUUUUGCUCAUCAUCUUCACCAGUUGCAGAUCCCGGAACAGACUCCUGGAGGUUGGCUGACUUAGUGACUGGAACUUGUGGCUCAGGCGCAGUUAUGAUGGGCUGCUUUUCGGGAUCGUGUACGAAGAGAUCUACUUUAUCUCGCUUGGCUCUCCGGGCUAGGCUGAUGGCAUCCCAGAGAUCCUGGUCAGUUGUGAUGGACACUGUAUCCCCCUCGCUGUCCAAGUAACUCAACGCAUAUCCUGUGUGGCUCAUUUUGCCGUCUUCAACGAUAGCGUUUCCACCCACAGCUUCAACCUCGGCUCCUAGCUUCAAAGAAACUUGGGAAACAAGAUCUUCCACCCCCGCAGAAGGAGUAAUGUGCAGUCUAUGUACCCGACCACUGGGAGCUUUGAAUUUGAAGGGGAAGGAAGUGUCCUCAUGAUGGACUGGUCGGGGAUCUAAAACAUCGGAGGCAGCCUCGUCACCAUUAUGUGAGGCCGAUUCGUUGGGAAGAACGCUGUUUUCGCGGUCACCAUGAGAUCUUGAGAUGUCGGGGCUCAUUACGGAACGAAGUGGAGUAUGGGGAUGAUGGCUGUGGCUGCCAGACACCAUGGAAUCAGACUCAUUAUCCAUCGAAAGCCAGAACUUAUUCCACGCAGGCCCUUCAUUUUCGUUUGUAGACAUAGAAUUAACCUAAAAUCAUAGGUAAAAUAUAAGUUGAGUCAAAAAUAGUUGUGAAAAACGUCGGGAAUAGAAAGGAAAAGCGUACCUGUUCGAGAGUGGCG
rnacentral:sRNA from 2 species